rnacentral:rRNA from 1 species
GCAAAGGUAGCAUAAUCAUUUGCCCCCUAAUUAGGGGCUGGAAUGAAUGGAACAACUUCCUCCUUCUGUCUCAAUGGGAUUAAAUAAAAAAUCCUAUUUAAGCGAAGAAGCUUAAAUUAAGGAGAGGGACCAAAAGACCCUAUAGAGCUUUAUGGAAGAAUCUAAAAUACCUUUUCUUCUUCUAUUUUGCUGGGGCGGCAUAGAACAUAUCAUUCUAAACUAAUUACACUCAACAGUGCCAUCUCAACCCUAUUUUGAAACCGAAUCAGCUACCUUAGGGAUAACAGUCUUAUUUCUCUUAAUAGCUCACAUUAAAAGAGAAGAUUGGCAC